rnacentral:rRNA from 1 species
CCUACGGGUGGCAGCAGUCGAGAAUCAUUCACAAUGGGGGAAACCCUGAUGGUGCGACGCCGCGUGGGGGAAUGAAGGUCUUCGGAUUGUAAACCCCUGUCAUGUGGGAGCAAAUUAAAAAGAUAGUACCACAAGAGGAAGAGACGGCUAACUCUGUGCCAGCAGCCGCGGUAAUACAGAGGUCUCAAGCGUUGUUCGGAAUCACUGGGCGUAAGGCGUGCGUAGGCGGUUUCGUAAGUCGUGUGUGAAUGGCGCGGGCUCAACCCGCGGACGGCACAUGAUACUGCGAGACUAGAGUAAUGGAGGGGGAACCGGAAUUCUCGGUGUAGCAGUGAAAUGCGUAGAUAUCGAGAGGAACACUCGUGGCGAAGGCGGGUUCCUGGACAUUAACUGACGCUGAGGCACGAAGGCCAGGGGAGCGAAAGGGAUUAGAUACCCGAGUAGUC